CAUUAAAUUAGGAAAAAACAUGAAGAUACAUUCCGUGGACCAAGGAGCAGAGCACAUGCUGAUUCUCUCAUCAGAUGGAAAACCAUUUGAGUAUGACAACUAUAGUAUGAAACAUCUAAGGUUUGAAAGCAUUUUACAAGAAAAAAAAAUAAUUCAGAUCACAUGUGGAGAUUACCAUUCUCUUGCACUCUCAAAAGGUGGUGAGCUUUUUGCCUGGGGACAGAACCUGCAUGGGCAGCUUGGAGUUGGAAGGAAAUUUCCCUCAACCACCACACCACAGAUUGUGGAGCACCUCGCAGGAGUACCCUUGGCUCAGAUUUCUGCCGGAGAAGCCCACAGCAUGGCCUUAUCCAUGUCUGGCAACAUUUAUUCAUGGGGAAAAAAUGAAUUUGGACAACUAGGCCUGGGCCACACUGAGAGUAUGGAACACAUUCUCAGAUUCCUAUUACCAACAGAUAUACUUGUUAGAUGAAUUUAAU
rnacentral:lncRNA from 1 species